AUUUUGGCUAAUUAGCUAUCUUGAGUGCUCCGAACACCUGUGUGUAAGCUAACUGGGAGGAAGUGUAGUUGGUCAACCGGAGGCACACACAGUGUAUGGAUCUGUGCAAAACUGCUACAGACGCUUUUUCCCGCCCCCGGAGAGCUAUGGACCAAUCGAAACCCAGCGUCCUGGAGCCCCUGUAGAACGCUGAACCAAUAGCGGACCACCUCAGCCUCUGUCCCGCCGACCUCAAAGCCGGCCCACUGGAGGUGUACCGUGGCAACCAGGUGACGGAUGCGCCCCAGAGUUCCGAGCUCUGCCCAGUUUUGCAGAACCCUCCACUCAGCACUCAGCAGGACAUCACCACUGCGCAGUGUGGGAGAAACGUUUGCACAAGGCAUCGUCUCUUUGUUCCCAUACCUUAAGGAUCCCUACACUGCAAAUGGAUAUGAACAUUAUUACGACCCUAAUAGUGGAGAAGGGUACCUCUCGUAUAGAAUCAAAACCAUUCAGAGGAAUUUGGUUUCAUCAGAGAAACGGCCCACUCAACUAUACUCUGGAGGGCCAACUGCUGAGAGGGAGUCCAGUCCAUCCACUUUGGCUACCCUGAGUGAAGACCAGUGCCGAGAGGCCAUUUCUCUUAUGAAGCAUUCUUCUGAUGAAGAAACAGAAGAUGAGAUUGACCUUUGAGUACAGGAAGAUGACCCACGACCCGACUAAAUGCUCCACCAUCCUAACCGAAUUUACACGCUUUCUGGAUGUGAAGGGCUUGUUUCAGAUUGAACAGGAUUUUGUGCUGCUCUUUGGAGAGGGAACAUCAGCCAAGUUUUUGGAGAGGUGGCCAACUACAUUCAAGCAAAAGAUCAUCAUGCUAAGCAAGGCCCUAAGCAAGGCCACUCAGGGAGCUGAACUUCAGGAGCUGAUCCAGAUGGCAGAAUCUGCAGUUGAUGAGGGAGCUGACACGAAUGCUUACGGAUAGGAAAGUGACCUUUCCUCCAUCCUUCUCCUGCUCCAUUUGAUUCCUCCUUCAUCACAAGGCCGCAAAAGACCAGGCAAGAUGUCUGCAUCCCAAGCUGAACAGCAUCUUGUGAUAUUCUAAAAGGCAGGAACCAGUAUCCAGGAGCACCUUGAUGCGAUUGACCAGAGCCGCCAACCAUAUCUUCUUGCAGUCGGGACCAGGAAGAGCAGCAUCCAUGCUUACUUCAUCAUCCUGGACAAGCGAGCCUUACCGUGCAAGUCAACGAGCGCUCUUGGUGCUUCGAUGAGCUUUUCAAGACUCACUUUGUUUUUGGUAUUGCUUACAAUACAAUGCUGCGCAACAUGUACACCUUCAUACAGACAACUGUGUACAUCAUAGACAUUGGGAAGGUUAAGGAGACUCCAAGGGUUGCUGAGCUCAGAGCUAGACCUCUGCACUAAUGCUGAUUAAGUGAUGAUAUGUUUUGUUUACCAUGCUAGUCAUGGAAGUACCAACUUGCUCAUAAGGCAUCUCAAGUUGAUGCAUGGAAUGUGCCCUGGUAGAACUCUUAGACUAAAAUGUGGUCAAGCAGAUUGUUGUCGUGUAUUUGGUACAUUUUCAGACUUUAGGAAGCAUUUGAACAGGGCACAAUCCCGAGACUGUCAAAUGCUAACUUGAAUGCUAAUACAGCCGUUGUUAAUCAGCCAAGUAAUGCUGAUUUUCCUUCAAAUUCUAGUUGUAACCAUGUACCAAUAUCUAACAAAAACACACUUGUAAUGUCUGCUAUUGCACAGCUGCAGGUGUAGGUCAGACUGUAAAUAGUUUUGUAUCUUCCAUGGAAGAAGCAGUUCAAGAGAUUCAGCGUCAAGCUAAAGCGACCGAUCUCACAUGUAUAUCUUCAAAAGACACACAAAUUGUCAGAAAAAUACAACAUUAUUUUCAGGAUAUUGAAAUUCCUUUCACAUUGUUGAAUUCGGUAUCAAAACGAAGUGCUUAUUUUAUACAAAAAUGGGGAACAGGUCAACCAGUUGAGAGUCCUUGGUGUUAGAUUUGACAAUAGAAGAAACAACACUACUGGAACUUAUGAUCAAAUGGUCAUAACUGAUCAAUUUUCUUACGUUCCAAUUCUCCAGACAUUGCAGUCAAUUUUGAAGAACCCAAAUACAAGUGGCAUGUUUAACUCGGGGCACAAUUUUAAAAUUGAGUUUACUUUAAUUUGAAAGCUGGACUAUAUAUGAAGAGACAUCCUCUCUUUUCUAAAGAGAAAAAUGCAUUGAAAAUUCAACUCUUAUGAUGACUUUGAGACUGCUAAUCCAUUGGGAUCAAAAAAGGGAAUUCACAAGUUGGGAGGUAUAUACUUUACUUUGAGAAAUUUUACCCCAAAGUUUCAUUCAAUGUUGGUAAAUAUUCACUUAUGUGCACUCUUCCAUACCCAGGACCUUAAAACGUAGGGAUUUGAUUCCAUUCUUGAGCCAAUAGUUAGCGAUUUGAAAUUGCUUGUGACUGAGGGUAUUGCAGUUCCCUUCUUCAGUGGUUGUAUACAUGGCAGUAUUGUCCAAGUAACUGGAGAUAAUCUUGGUAUACAUUGCCUGUUUGGUUUUGUGGAAUCAUUUAGUGCUCGUUAUUGUUGCCAUUUCUGCAACACUGAGAAAGUGGAUUUUUAAACUGUGUUCUCUGAGGAUGACCCAAGAGUGACUUUACGAACAAAACACAUGCAACUCAGACCAUUGUCAAACUAUUCGGUCAAACCCAACACGGUGUGAAGCAUGCUUGCUUAUUGAACUCUCCAGUACUUCAAUACUACAGACAACUUUCUGUUGAUAUAAUGCAUGACAUUUUAGGAGUUGCACAAUUUGAGGUAACUUGCGUUACAGUAUAUACAAGCCAACUUUGUGACUGAUAAAGAUGUGUACGGUAGAGUUCAUUCAUGUAACUAUGGCUACACAGAGAGGAGGAAUCGUCCACCUGCACUCAAAUUGGAUGAUGGGAGCAAUGAUUUGGGUCUAAAUGCUAUUCAGUCUUGGUGUCUUCUCUGUAAUUUGCCAUUGAUAUUUGGUGAUCUGGUACAGAAAGAUGAUAAAUACUGGCAGCUGCUUCUGUUACUACUACAAAUUGUAAAUAUUGUGUUUUCUCCUAUACUAACAAAGGGCAUGACUAUCUAUCUGAAGCACUUAAUUGCUGAACAUCAUAGGCUUUUCAAGUAUUUUUUUCCUGAUUAGAAAUCUGUUACCGAAACACCACUUCAUGAUACAUUAUCCUCGUUGUAUAAGGAAUUUUUGGGUCUCAGUGCACACAAAUGUUUUGUCAGCUAAAUGGGUAAAGCACCAUGGUAUAAAAUAUCGUCUUGAUUUGGUCAUAUGUGGUGAAGUAGUCAUUUGAAAUGCCAGUAUACAAAAUUGAGUCUAUUCUUCUGAAAGAUAAAUGUUUUUUGGGUUGGGUCAGCUCUUGAAACCUUAUGUUUUGAUGAUCAUUUGCAUGCAUUUAAAGUUUUGAAGCAUAGUCCACCAUGCAAAGUAUUUCAUGUAAAUAACAUAAUGUACCACAAACCUUUUGAUUUGCUCAUGUCAUAUGGAGCAAGGGAUUUUUUUGACUACAUUGUCCCCUACUGUCACUUGAUAACAGUUUAAGCCAGGGCUGAUACUUAUGGUUAGGUUGUGAGAAACAUGUUUUUAAUGUAAAUGUCAGCAUUUUCCAACAAACCUAUUGAUUUGCUCAUGUCAUAUGGAGCAAGGGAUUCUUUUGACUACAUUCUACUGUCACUUGAUAAGUUUAAGCCAGGGCUGGGACUUAUGGUUUGGUUAUAAUAAACAUAUUUGAAUG